rnacentral:rRNA from 1 species
GACGAACGCUGGCGGCGUGCCUAAUACAUGCCAGUCGAACGAGAGCGACCGGUGCUUGCACUGGUCAAUCUAGUGGCGAACGAGUGAGUAACACGUGGGUAACCUGCCCAUCAGAGGGGGAUAACAUCCGGAAACGGAUGCUAAAACCGCAUAGGUCUUCGAGCCGCAUGGCUUGAAGAGGAAAAGAGGCGCAAGCUUCUGCUGAUGGAUGGACCCGCGGUGCAUUAGCUAGUUGGUGAGGUAACGGCUCACCAAGGCCGUGAUGCAUAGCCGACCUGAGAGGGUGAUCGGCCACAUUGGGACUGAGACACGGCCCAAACUCCUACGGGAGGCAGCAGUAGGGAAUCUUCCGCAAUGGACGCAAGUCUGACGGAGCAACGCCGCGUGAGUGAAGAAGGUUUUCGGAUCGUAAAACUCUGUUGUUAGAGAAGAACAAGUGCUAGAGUAACUGUUAGCGCCUUGACGGUAUCUAACCAGAAAGCCACGGCUAACUACGUG